rfam:Enterococcus mundtii QT 25 DNA, complete genome.
GGUUCUAUGUUAAAAUGGACCAUGUAGAUUGUUUAUGAUGGUAGCUGCUCAGGGGGUGAUGCUUAUGAGCAUUUUCCUACUUCAACGAAGGGAGUAGCCUUUUGUCUGUUGCGGAAGCACUGGCAUUGAUGAUCCAGUUUGGAUCGUUGAUGCUUGCGCUUGUUGGCAUUAU